rnacentral:rRNA from 1 species
AACGAACGCUGGCGGCGCGUCUUAAGCAUGCAAGUCGAACGGCAAGAUGCCUUCGGGUAUCCUAGAGUGGCGGACUGGUGAGUAACGCGUGGAUGACGUACCCUCGUGACGGGGAUAGCCGGUAGAAAUACCGGGUAAUACCGGAUAAGGUCUCACGGAAUAAAGGUGUGAGAGGAAAGCAGCGUAUGCUGCGCAGGAGGAACGGUCUGCGGCCUAUCAGCUGGUUGGCAGGGUAAAGGCCUACCAAGGCGACGACGGGUAUCCGGCCUGAGAGGGUGGACGGACACAUUGGGACUGAGAUACGGCCCAGACUCCUACGGGAGGCAGCAGCUAAGAAUAUUCCGCAAUGGGGGGGACCCUGACGGAGCGACGCCGCGUGGACGAUGAAGGUCGGAAGAUUGUAAAGUCCUUUUAUACAUGAAGAAGAAGUUAUACAGGAAAUGGUAUGAUGGUGACGGUAGUGUAUGAAUAAGCACCGGCUAAUUACGUGCCAGCAGCCGCGGUAACACGUAAGGUGCGAGCGUUGUUCGGAAUUAUUGGGCGUAAAGGGCAUGCAGGCGGUCGUGCAAGCCCGGCGUGAAAGGCGGGGGCUCAACUCCCGAACUGCGCUGGGAACUGUAAGGCUUGAGUUUCUGAAGGGUAGUCGGAAUUCCACGUGUAGGGGUGAAAUCUGUAGAUAUGUGGAAGAACACCAAUGGCGAAGGCAGGCUACCGGCAGAAGACUGACGCUGAGGUGCGAAGGUGCGGGGAGCAAACAGGAUUAGAUACCCUGGUAGUCCGCACAGUCAACGAUGUGCACUACAUGUCUGUCCAUGAGGAUGGGUGUCAAAGCAAACGCGAUAAGUGCACCGCCUGGGGAGUAUGCCCGCAAAGGUGAAACUCAAAGGAAUUGACGGGGGCCCGCACAAGCGGUGGAGCAUGUGGUUAAUGCGAUGGUACGCGAGGACCCUACCUGGGUGUGACAUACACAG